GGGGGCGAAAUGGCUUCGACGGGGGUAAUUGAGGCCGGAGUUGCAUACCGAGGUUUCACCAUCUCGUUAAACUGGUGAAAAUAACAUAAUCGCCAACGAUUAUAAUUACGCUGUAGCCGCUUAACGCGGCUUCCGUCUCUCUCGCUUUCUCCUGUGGAGCGGGAAGAGGCGUCGAAUAAGCAGGAUAGCCUCAUUUCAGUAUCCGGAUGGUGUGAGGCGAAAACAACCCGGAUGAGCGUUUUUAUCAUCCUGUCUCGGGGAGAAUAAAAACGCUUAAUAAAACCGAGACUGUGUAUGGAGAUACUCUGAGCUGAAUGCUUUCGGACGGGGGUUCAACUCCCCCCGCCUCCACCA
rnacentral:tmRNA from 1 species